UACGAAGGGGGCUAGCGUUGCUCGGAAUCACUGGGCGUAAAGGGUGCGUAGGCGGGUCUUUAAGUCAGGGGUGAAAUCCUAGGCAGCUCAACUCCAGAACUGCCUUUGAUACUGAAGAUCUUGAGUUCGGGAGAGGUGAGUGGAACUGCGAGUGUAGAGGUGAAAUUCGUAGAUAUUCGCAAGAACACCAGUGGCGAAGGCGGCUCACUGGCCCGAUACUGACGCUGAGGCACGAAAGCGUGGGGAGCGAACAGG
rnacentral:rRNA from 1 species